rnacentral:rRNA from 1 species
UACGGAGUGUGCAAGCGUUACUCGGAAUCACUGGGCAUAAAGGGCGCGUAGGCGGAUCGUGAAGUCGGUUGUGAAAUCCCUCAGCUCAACUGAGGAACUGCAGCCGAUACUGCUGAUCUCGAGGACGAAAGGGGAGAGUGGAACUUCUGGUGGAGCGGUGAAAUGCGUAGAUAUCAGGAGGAACACCCAUGGCGAAGGCAGGUUACUGGGCAUUAUCUGACGCUGAGGCGCGAAAGCGUGGGUAGCAAACAGG